rnacentral:rRNA from 1 species
AACGAACGCUGGCGGCAGGCUUAACACAUGCAAGUCGAGCGCCCCGCAAGGGGGGCGGCAGACGGGUGAGUAACGCGUGGGAAUCUACCCAUCUCUACGGAAUAACGCAUGGAAACGUGUGCCAAUACCGUAUACGUCCUUCGGGAGUAAGAUUUAUCGGAGAUGGAUGAGCCCGCGUUGGAUUAGCUAGUUAGUGGGGUAAAGGCCUACCAAGGCGACGAUCCAUAGCUGGUCUGAGAGGAUGAUCAGCCACACUGGGACUGAGACACGGCCCAGACUCCUACGGGAGGCUGCAGUGGGGAAUAUUGGACAAUGGGCGCAAGCCUGAUCCAGCCAUGCCGCGUGAGUGAUGAAGGCCCUAGGGUUGUAAAGCUCUUUCACCGGUGAAGAUAAUGACGGUAACCGGAGAAGAAGCCCCGGCUAACUUCGUGCCAGCCGCCGCAGUAACAC